CGGACAAGACGUGGAACACAGAACUAUCGCAUCGUCGAUCGUCUUCAGAUCAUGGUGCUUUCGCCUUCACCGGUCUGUGCCUGUAGACGUUGACCACGGAGCAACAACGAACACCAGUUACCGGGGACUGAUCCUGUCAUGGAGAAGAAUAUCCGUCACGGGUUCUCGGUACCUAAGAAGAACCUUCUUACGUCGGUUUUUGCCCGAGGA